rnacentral:rRNA from 1 species
CACGUAGGGUGCGAGCGUUGUCCGGAAUUAUUGGGCGUAAAGAGCUCGUAGGCGGUGUGUCGCGUCGGCCGUGAAAACCUGCAGCUUAACUGUGGGCUUGCGGUCGAUACGGGCAUCACUGGAGUUCGGCAGGGGAGACUGGAAUUCCUGGUGUAGCGGUGAAAUGCGCAGAUAUCAGGAGGAACACCGGUGGCGAAGGCGGCUCACUGGUCCGGUACUGACGCUGAGGCGCGAAAGCUAGGGGAGCAAACGGG